CCCUUAGAUGUUCUGGGCCGCACGCGCGCUACACUGACGAUGGCAACGAGUUUUUCCUUCGCCGAAAGGUGUGGGUAAUCUUUUGAAACAUCGUCGUGCUGGGGAUAGAUCAUUGCAAUUUUUGAUCUUGAACGAGGAAUUCCUAGUAAGCGCGAGUCAUCAGCUCGCGUUGAUUACGUCCCUGCCCUUUGUACACACCGCCCGUCGCUACUACCGAUUGAAUGGUUCAGUGAGAUAAUCGGACAGAUAACUUGGCAACUGGCAACAGUUGACGUGCAUAUUUGGAAGACGAUCAAACUUGGUCAUUUAGAGGAAGUAAAAGUCGUAACA
rnacentral:rRNA from 1 species